rnacentral:rRNA from 1 species
CCCUUAGAUGUUCUGGGCUGCACGCGCGCUACACUGAUGCGUUCAACGAGCAUAUUUUAACCUUGCCCGAUAGGGUUGGGUAAUCUUUUGAACACGCAUCGUGAUGGGGAUAGAUUAUUGUAAUUAUUAAUCUUCAACGAGGAAUUCCUAGUAAUGGUGAAUCAUCAGUUCAUCGUGAUUACGUCCCUGCCCUUUGCACACACCGCCCGUCGCUCCUACCGAUUGAGCAGUCCGGUGAAUACUUCGGACCGUGACCAGUGUGGUUUCCAUGCUGUGUUAUGGAAAGUCGAGUGAACCUUACUGCUUAGAGGAAGGAGAAGUCGUAACA